AUUAAUAUACUUGUUUUUAUUAAAAUUGGUUUUAUAUUAUUAAUAAAAUAAAUAAUUAGUUGGUGUAUAUUUUAUAAAUAAAAUUAUUUUUACUAUAGUGAACUAGUACUGUGAAGGAAAUUUGAAGUUAUAAUAUAAUUUAUUAAAGGUGAUUUUAUUUAUUGUAUCUUGUGUAUCAGAGUAUAUUAAAAUGAAUUAUGUAUAAUUUUUUUCUCGAAUUUAAAAGAUUUAAUUAAAUGUUCUAGUUAUUGUUUCAUAAAUAUUAGAAAUUUUUAGUUGGUAAUGAGAUGUUAAUCGUUUUUAAGGAUAUCUAGUUUUUUAAUAAAUGAAUUUAAUUCAGAAUAUAUAAUUUAUUAGAUAAUUUUAUAUAAUAAUAUUUUGUAUAUUUAAUUUUAAGAGGGAUAAACUUUUUAAAAUAUAAUUAUAAUAUAAAAUGAUAGAGGAUUUUAUAAAUUUAGAAUUUGUUAUUAAUUAAAGGAUGUUAAAAUUUAAUUCUUGUUUUUGAUAAAUUUUUAAAUUAUUUAAUUUAUAUAUUAAAAUAUUAAUUUGAAUUUUUGAUUUUAAGAAUUUAUGAUUUAAUUAGUAAAUUUAAUUAUUAUGAAUAUUUAUUUAAUUUGUAAUGAUAAUAUGAAGAAUUAGGCAAAUAAUUCACUCACCUGUUUAUUAAAAACAUGGUUUCUUGAUUAAUAUUUAAGAAAUCUGGCCUGCCCACUGAAAAAUUUUGAAGGGCCGCAGUAUUUUGACUGUGCGAAGGUAGCAUAAUCAUUAGUCUUUUAAUUGAAGGCUUGUAUGAAUGGUUGGAUGAGGUGAAUGCUGUUUUAUAUUAUUUUUUUUUGAAUUUAGGUUUUAAGUAAAAAUACUUAAAUUAUAUUAAGGGACGAGAAGACCCUAUAGAGUUUAAUAAAUGUAGUAAUAAAUUGAGUUAAUAAGAAUUUUUUGGUUUUUAUGAUAUUUAUUUAAUUGGGGUGAUUAAAGAAUAUGGAAAACUUCUUUUUAAUUUUAAUAUUUAUGUGUAGUUAUAAGAUCCGCUAUUAGUGAUUAAAAGAUUAAAUUACCUUAGGGAUAACAGCAUAAUUUUCUUUGAGAGUUCAUAUCGAAAAGAAAGAUUAUGACCUCGAUGUUGGAUUAAGAUUUGUUUAGGGUGUAGAUGUUUAUAAACUAGGUCUGUUCGACCUUUAAAAUCUUACAUGAUCUGAGUUUAAACCGGCGUGAGCCAGGUUGGUUUCUAUCUUUAAUUUUAUUAAAUAUUUUAGUACGAGAGGACCAAAUAUUUAAAAUAAUUUUUAUUUAAUGAUUAUUAUUAAUU
rnacentral:rRNA from 1 species